rnacentral:miRNA from 1 species
UGCUGCCUUCCCAGCGAAGCAGUAGGAGGGACAGAAAGGAGCCCUUAUGGAGCCCCUUCCGUCCCUCAUCCUGCUUCGCUGGGAAGCCAGCA